rnacentral:rRNA from 1 species
UGGUGGAGUGAUUUGUCUGGUUAAUUCCGUUAACGAACGAGACCUCGACCUGCUAAAUAGUUCGACGAACAACCUAUGUUGUUCGAUCGUUUGACUUCUUAGAGGGACUAUUGGUGUGUACACAGAGGUAGU